CCUACGGGAGGCAGCAGUGGGGAAUAUUGCACAAUGGGGGAAAGCCUGAUGCAGCGAUGCCGCGUGAAGGAUGAAGGAAUUCGGUAUGUAAACUUCUAUCAGCAGGGAAGAAAAUGACGGUACGUGACUACGAAGCACCGGACAACAACGUGCCAGCAGCCGCGGUAAUACGGAGGGGGCAAGCGUGAUCCGGAGUUACUGGGGGUAAAGGGAGCGUAGACGGCAUGGCAGGUCCGAUGUGAAAACCCCGGGCUCAACCCCGGGACUGCAUUGGAAACUGGCAGGCUCGAGUGUAGGAGAGGCAAGUGGAAUUCCUGGUGUAGCGGUGAAAUGCGUAGAUAUUAGGAGGAACACCGGUGGCGAAGGCGGCUUGCUGGACGAAGACUGACGCUGAGGCUCGAAAGCGUGGGGAGCAAACAGGAUUAGAUACCCCUGUAGUC
rnacentral:rRNA from 1 species